AACGAACGCUGGCGGCAUGCCUAACACAUGCAAGUCGAGCGGCAGCGCGAGUAGCUUACUACUUGGCGGCGAGCGGCGGACGGCUGAGUGACGCGUGGGAACAUACCCCAAAGUGAGGGAUAACUGCCCGAAAGGGUGGCUAAUACCGCAUAUGAUCUUCGGAUUAAAGGAUUUAUCCGCUUUGGGAAUGGCCUGCGUAUGAUUAGAUAGUUGGUGAGGUAAUGGCUCACCAAGUCAACGAUCAUUAACUGGUUUGAGAGGAUGAUCAGCCAGACUGGGACUGAGACACGGCCCAGACUCCUACGGGAGGCAGCAGUGAGGAAUCUUCCACAAUGGGCGAAAGCCUGAUGGAGCAACGCCGCGUGAAGGAUGAAGGCCCUCGGGUCGUAAACUUCUUUUAUAAGUGAAGAAUAUGACGGUAACUUAUGAAUAAGCACCGGCUAACUACGUGCCAGCAGCCGCGGUAA
rnacentral:rRNA from 1 species